rnacentral:lncRNA from 1 species
GGGACGGAGACUUCAGUCUGGUUCCCGACGAUUGUACUCUUCAUUACACAGCAAGAUUGCACGAGGAAUUCACGAAAUUUGCUGAAGACCUGGGCAAAUCUGGGCUGCGGCUGUCCCAGCCAUCCAAAACUGACGAGAUUAGGCAGAUGUUCUCGGAGCAUCAGGGAGUGGCCCUUCCCGACUUCCUGCCUCACACGGUCUUGCACCAGUUGGUGAAGAAACAGAUCGAUAGCAUCACCCAGACGUGUAUAUUCCUCGUGGACCGAGUGUUCAAAUAUGCCGCCGAAGUUGUGCUACAUGUUCAAAGUCUUAUAUUUGAAGUCUACCCUCACUUGAGGGACAAGCACCACAAGCUUGCAAUCCAAGUCCUGAAUGAGACCAAAAUGACAACUGUGGAGUUCGUUGAGAGAAUGUUGGCCAAAGAGAGAACGGUCAUCUUCACAACGAAUGCCUCCUAAUUGGAAACUAUGGCGAAGUUAAAUUCUGCUAUGGAAACAGCUCGGCGCUCAAACCAAGCAUAUAUCGAAUAAGAUGUUGGACCUAUCCGUGAGGGGCUGAUUCUUAACGAAGCAGUACCUGCGAUAGGGUGGUGCCUGUUGGUAACAAUAACAGUGACUUACCAAACAUAACAAACAACCUAAGUGAAACGUAGCAACUAGUCAAAUAGGCGAGACCUAAAUGGUCGCACCUCCCUCAUUAUAAUUAUAAUAGUGUACACUCAAUUUUAAUAUAGGUAAUAUAUUCUUUUUAUCAAAAACUUUCAAGUUCACUUGCUUCUAAUAUGAUAUGAGAGGGAAGCUCUGAAAAAGUUUUAUGAUAUAUAUUUAAAGAAAACACUGCAGACAGAAAAAGGAGGCUUUGUAGAAGACGUUCUAUAUAGAAAGUUGGAGCACCGACGAAUCCUCUUCUUGUCUUCAAACAUGACUGUAAGCAACAUUACCAUGGAUAAGUGGCCUAAGUUUGAUGGCUCGUGGUAUUCCAUCUGGAAGAAAAAGAUUGAAAUGAAGUUUGAAAUGGAGAACUUAUGGGAUGUAGUUUCAGGAAAAGAAACACAACCAACACUUCUUCAAUGAGUAAAUGCAACAUCAACUUCACCAUCAACUAAUCAAACUGAAAUCCUUACCUUGAAAAGGAAGGAUCAUGUUGCUUUAGCAGCAAUUUGGGAUUGCGUAGAAAAUCCAAUUUUCUCUCAUGUCAUAGCAUGCAAGACAACCAAUGAAGCAUGGCUGGCCCUUGAAAAUACAUACUCCGCAGGUGACAUCGUCACUCAAUCCCACCUACAAGAAAAAUUCAUCAUACCAAAGAUGAAAAUUGGAGAAUCGGUAACUCAACAUAUACACAACUUUAAAUGUCUGCUUCAACAAUGCACUUCUGUCGGAGUUAUCAUUUCUCCUCAAAUAGAAAUCUUCACUCUCAUGAGGUCCAUGCCAUCCCAGUAUGGCAUCGUGAUACAAAUGCUUCGCACAAUGGGGACUGUAACACUCCCCACGCUGAUUUCAAUCCUCUUGCAGGAAGAAACAGCCAUGAAAAGCUCUUCUUCUAACUCACAUGCCCUCUUUGUAGGACGCAAAGGAAAGACAAAAUGGCAACCUCACAAAUCCAAUCCUAAAGACCAUAAGCUUUUAAAACAGCACAACAAACCUACAACUCUUUACCCACAUUGUAAGAUAAUGGGGCAUUGGGAUUCCGAGUGUUUCAAACACAAAACAGGAGUUGCUGCAAAUUCAGCAACAACAAAUCAUGAUAACAAGAAAAAUAACCAAAUAUGGAAGCAAGAACAAGUAGAGGAAUUACCUCCCGCUUUCUAUGCCCAUGUUUACAUUACACAAGCUUUUUGCUUGGCGAAAUCACCUAAGCUUGGAACCACCAAAGACACACAAUGGCUCAUUGAUACGGGUGCCACCCACCACUUGGCACAUAAUAAACGACAAUUCAUUAAUUUCAAACCAUUUCUACAUGAUGACAACAAAGUAUACCUUGGCGAUGGCACAGCAUUACCCAUCCAUGGCCAAAGAGAAGUAGAAAUCUCAAUGGCAAAUGGCGAGAUUCUUCGUCUCUCUAAUACCUUAUAUGUACCAGAUUUACACAAAAAUCUAUUCUCAGUAUGUGACUAUAAUCUCGAAGGUGGUGGCAUCUUAAUAAAAAAUCAGAUGUGUGAUCUAUUAGUAAGAACACAAUACUCGCCUCCUAUCCUAUUCGAGAUAAUCUUUAUCUACUAGGAUCAACAAAAUUCCCAGCCCAAAAUGUGGUGGCACAUACCAUUACUUGGUCGGGAGAAUCACCAUCUAUUUUCGUGACCCCAAGUACCGAUCAGAGAGUUUUUAUCUCGCAACCUUCACUAACGACCCUUUCUAGUCCUGAUCACGUAUGCUGGUCACCACAGCUCUCUCCAACGCCGUCUUUCCCCUCUACGAACAACUCUGCCUAAUGGACAGUCAACGUGGAGUUAUCUUCCGCCUUCAACCCCCAUGCCUCUCAACUACCACUACCAGAGCCUCGGAAUCCUACUCAUCACCACGGAGCACAAUAGAUUCCUCUCCACCUCAGCACAACAAACUCGCAAGGACAUUAUGGCCUCCCGGAGAUCCCUCCAUGGCCGAACCGACUGUCUCUUACUGCUACUAUCUUUUCUACCGAUAUUAUGACACUACAACCUAUUACAGCCUCAUCGAUCGAAGCCACUCAAGCUAUCACCUCAGUUCCAAGCUCACAACAGUUCUUGUAGCAUCAAAGGCUUGGUCAUCCCAGUAGUGACCACCUCAAGCACUUCAUCACCAACUCAACUGUCACGAGAAUCCACCUCAAAACGAUCUCCAACCAAAUGUGCACAACAUGAUCUAUAGCAAACAUUCAACCAAAAAAUUUCUAAAACAAGCAACUACAAGAGCCACCCAACCUCUCGAAUUAAUCCACUCAAACUUAAGCGGCCGCAUCUCUACUCCAACAUUCUCUAACUACAGAUACUAUGUUACAUUCAUCGACGACUUUUCCAAAUAUAUUGUACUAAAACUAUUAUGAAAAAAGAACAAAUGUCUACAUGAAUUCAAAAUUUUUCACAUGGGCUGAGAAUCAAACAGGCUAUAAAAUCAAAACUCUCCACUCCAAUCAAGGAGGAGAGUACUUAUCUUCAAAAUUAUCUUCAAGUAGUACUCACUACCUGGAAGCACAUGGAAUUCAACUUCAAUUCACCGCUCACUACCUAGAAGCACAUAGAAUUCAACAUCAACUCAACAUAUCCUAUACACCAGGCCAAAAUGGUGUGGCUGAAUGCAAGAAUCGAACUCUCCUCUACACCACAAGGUGCAUGCUCCAUGAAGCUCAACUCUCUAGAUCGUAUUAGGGAGAAGCAGGGGGAGAAGCACGGGGAGAAGCAGUCACAUGUGCUCCGUAUAUACAAAAUCGACUUCCCACGAAGGCUAUUCCUUCUCACACCACUCCAUUCGAGAUGUGGCACAAGAAGAAGCCCGAUCUCACUCACAUUCGUGUAUUUGGAAGUCGAUGUUAUGGCAAAAUCCCUGAUCCGCUCCGUAUCAAGCUUGAUGGAAAAACGGAGGCUUGCAUAUUCCUUGGCUAUAGCCCAGUCAGCAAGGGAUACAAGGUUCAACUCCUCCGCACUGGCGCCACCGUCGUCUCUAGGGACGUCAUCCUUCAGGAGAAGCCUGCUCCUCCCCGCCAACCUGUUCAGGCCAGCCCCUCACCCGAUGCCAGACUCCAGGAAGACCCACAUUUCUUCCUUCCCAGCAGGUCGCAGCUCCCUGCCACUCCACCUGCACGUGUAUCCACGCGUGAGCCCCAGCACCCUCUUUCUGAUGCUCCGCAGGUGCCGUCAGACCAGCAUCAACGUCCUCCUUCACUAUCUGUCACGAAUCCUCUUGAUGAUCACCUCUCGUCUGCUGCUCCGGAACCAGAUGCUGCUGAUGGCCCCAGCCAUGGGUUGAGCAAUUUUCAUAUUUUGCUUCCCCUGGCUCCAGAUUCCGCCCGUGCUCAGUCCCGACUUGAACAAUCCUCCUCGCCCGAGGUACCACCACUCCUCCCGGCUAGACCGUCCCCGCGGCAUGACGUCCGGUCUCCCACCGGCUUAGCCCUCAUGCCUCAUUUAGGCCACCACAAACAAGCUCCCAGCACGGACCAUGUUGCUGACUCUCCCGUUGAGUCCCCGCAUAGAACCUCUCCUGUACCCGUUCGCAAGUCUUCUCGCACCAACAAAGGCGUACCCCCGCCGCGAGACCCUUCCGAAGAUUAUGAUCCAAGUUCUCUUCGGCCGCGGAAGACUCCUCCGCGACCCUCUCGACCGAAGCGCACUCUUCUAACCCUUGCCGCGGUUCCCAUGGAGCCAACGACCUACACGCAAGCCAUGACGUCUCCCGACAGUCACCAUUGGAAAUCUGCCAUAGCUGAAGAACUAAACUCCCAUGCGAUGAACGGCACGUGGAUAUUUUCGACUCUCCCUGCAGAUCGAAAACCCAUCACCUGUAAGUGGAUUUUCAAGCUCAAAUUAAACAGCCACGGCCAAAUUGACCGCUACAAGGCCCGUCUCGUAGCCCGGGGUUUUAACCAAAUUCCCGGGUUGGACUACCACGAGACGUUCUCCCCGGUGGUGAGAAUUCAGUCAAUACGACUGAUUCUCGCCCUUGCCGCCCAGCUGAACCUUCAUGUCCAUCAGAUAAACGUGAGGACAGCCUUCUUAAAUGGCGUUCUCUCCGAGGAAAUAUUCAUGCGGGUGCCGGAGGUGGGGACUUCCCCCCGCCCCGGCAAGGUCUGCCGCUUACUCAAGACCCUCUACAUGUCGAAACAGUCUCCCCGAGAAUGGUUUACGGUCAUAAACAAAUUUUUACUGACCCUCGGCUUCACAAAUUCUGCUGCGGAUGGGAAUGUCUAUGUGUUACAGAACCGCUCUGACUUCGCAGUCCUCACCCUCUACGUCGAUGACACUCUCAUCGCGGGGAACUCCCUCCCCUUUCUCCAUUCGAUCAAGCGACAACUCAACUCUCGCUUCUUACUCUCCGAUCUCGGCGAAGUACAUCACCUGCUCAGUUUACAGGUCACUCGAAAUCUUGAUCACGGAUGGUUCCGAAUCACACAAGCUCUGUACAUCACACAGAAGCUUGCGGAAUUCGGUUUCCUCGCCUCCAAACCUGUGUCGACCCCGCUGGCCCUUGGGACUCAUCUUUCAGCGGCCGACUGUCCGUCCUCCUCUGCCGAAACUGCCCUUAUUGCUGCCUUCCCCUAUGCGAAUGCUGUGGGGUCGCUGAAAUGGGCCAGCUUGUGCACUCGCCCGGAUCUCUCGUUCACGGUCAACGUUCUUGCUCAAUGUAUGCACAACCCGGGCGAUGCCCAUAUACGUGCAUGUAAACAUGUGUUUCGGUACCUCCGCGGCACUAUCGACCACUAUCUGGAGUACCGCCGCACUUCUACUGUGCCGCGCCCUCUCUACGGCUUCAGCGAUGCCGACUGGGCAGGCGAAGUGGAUCAACGCCACUCGACAUCCGGCUACGUUUUUCUUCUGUCAACAGGCGCCAUCAGUUGGAGCUCCACACGCCAAAAGACGACAGCCCUAUCCAGCACGGAGGCUGAGUAUGUCGCCAUGGCCACAGCCGCGUCCGAGCUUCUAUGGUUGCGGCAACUCCUCCACGACCUUCACUGCACCGACACCCUAAAGACGCCGACCCGUGUAUACUGCGACAACCAAUCAGCGUUAGCAUUAGUCACAACCACUCGUUUUCACUCCCGCACAAAGCACAUUUCUAUCCGCUACCAUUUCAUACGCCAACUUAUGGCUCAACACAAAGCCGAAUUUACCUACUGCCCAACAGACAAUAUGCAUGCGGACAUUUUCACGAAGUCCCUCACUGCACCGAAGCAUGCCCAGCAUUUACCCAUGCUUGGCCUGCUUGGAGGAGAAACCCCCCGUUCGUGAUGCUUUGGUUAAGCGGCCGUGUUGGAAACAAUAACAAUGACUAACCGAACAUAACGAACAAACUAAGUGAAACGUCGCAACUAGUCAAAUAGGCGAGACCUUGAACGGUCGCACCUCCCUCAAUAGAAUAAUAACAGUGUACACUCAAUUUUUAAUAUAGGUAUUAUAUUCUUUCUAUCAAAAACUCUCAAGUUCACUUGCUUCUAAUAUAAUAAUUGUGAAUUGAUUGAUGCUGCAGGAAUGAUUUUGGAGGAUCACUGAGUGUAUCGUGCAGUGUCCCAGUCCAAACAGGGCUCAAGGCUUAGGGGAGAAGGAACUAAUGUAGAGGAGUAAUCCAGGACAACAGAAUGACUGACUCUCGUUCAUCCUCCCUCAUAAAUAGUGUAGCCGAAUACGAUGAGAGUGUGUUCAUUUCCAGCCUGAGUUUUGUAUUCAGUUUAUGAUUUAUAUAUAAUACAAUUGCUCUAUACAGUUCACAUACUUUAAUAGACUACUAUUGCAUUAUUAUAUUGUAAGCAAACGUAUUCUGAUUGUUAUUUUGUUGAAACAGUGAAUAGUACAUCUAUUAGUGAAUGAUUAUGUGGAGGUGGCAUGCAUUACAUUCCUCUAUGAAGAGUGGAUUGUAUAAAACAAUAAAGUUAAAUACCAAAUUUUUAUAUUAUAAUUUAUUAUUAGACGUUAUUUUAAAGUUUUAGAAUAUAUGAAAUGUGAUGUUUUUUAUUUCCAAUUGGUGCUUAUAACAUUUGACAUAGGUAUGCUAUUGUUGUCAUGGUAUCUUUUUGUUUUUGUUUAUAUUUUGUUUUGUGUUUUGCUUCUGUUGCUUGAUGUUUUAGUUCAAGGCAAGGUUUUCUCUCAUCUACUCUUUGUUCAAGAUUCAUAGUUGUUAUUUAAACUUUAAAGUGUGAGCAUGCAUUAGAAGUAAUUGAUUGAUGGUUCAAGUGAAUAGGCUGUUUUGGAGUUUGUGAAAGUUGAUACCCCCUAGUUACAUUCAAUUUGUUUUAAUUGAAGAUCAGAGACUAUUAGAUGUCAAAAGGAAGUUUUGUGCGGAAAGUUGAUAUUUGGAGUUGAUCUUGGAUAUAGUUUUCUACUUUGACAAUAUUUCUAAUAUAAUGUGAAGGACAAGAUUUUGAUGAAAGCAAAUAAACAAAUGUGGGUUUCUCAAACAAAUAUAAAAAAAUAUGUAUAUUAAAAAGAAAUUUGAAAUGGCUAUUGCCAAAGAACAAAGAAAUUAGAAAGUCUUGAAAUUAAACUAAAAACAAGAAGAGAAUUCAUAAGAAUGAAGAAAGCUUUACUCUUGCUUCUAUAUAUAUUAUCUAUUUAGGAUCUAUGUGGUAACGUUCUAUAGGUUGUCCAAUAUCAUGUUGACUUUAUAUGACAUAUAUUUUAUCUUGUAAGACAAGUUUUCUAUAUAGACGCCAUAUAGUUAGCUUGUUUUUCAAGCUAUCAACACAUGUGGCUGUCAUGGCCAUAAUCAUAUAAGCUAAUAAUUACAUAUAGAAAUAGGUAGAAGUAAGUAAAAGUAGGUAAAAUUAAGUUAAUUCUAUAAUAUUUAAUAUGGAAGCUUCCUAGAAACUUCCUAGACGCUGCUUUGACUUCAUAGGUGUCUUUAAUUGACUUUUUGGAUUAGAAACGUGGUCAACAAGUUGGCCAUGUGCCACACAUGUUGUUAGCUUGAAGAUCAAGCUAACUAUGUAGCCCACAUGUAGAAAAACUUGCCUUAUAAGUCAAGGCAUGUGCCCUACAAAGUCAACACCUAUUGGAGGUCCUAUAGAACGUCGCCACGUAGCUCUUAGUUAGAUAGUAUAUAUAGAGACAAGAGUGAAGGCUUCUUCACUCUUGUCAACUCCUUUCUUGCUUCUAGUCUAGUUUUAAGGAUCUCUAGUUUUCUUGUCUUUCGGCAAUAGCCAUUCCAGUUUCUCUUUCAAUAAAUAUACUUGUUUAUAUAUAUUUUGUUACCUCUCUUUGGGUGAAUGCUCACUUGUCUGAAUUAUUUUUUCAUCGAGUUCUUGUCCUUGACAGAUUGACAAGAGUACACCUACAAUAUCAGAGCUUUGUCUAAUCUUGUUUAAGAGUGGAUUACCCUUUUUUCUUGAUAAGAUAUAAGCGUAUUAGAAGUUGCGAAUUACCCUCUUCUAAACUGAUAUUGUCCUUAGUAUAUUCUUUGCCCGCAAGUCCUCUCUUCUAGUUGUCUUGAGUGAUAUUAGACAUCUUCUCUCUUCUAAGUGUUAUUAUGGCAAAACUUCUUGAAAUGAAGAGUGCAAUGGCACAAAUGCAAGAGCAAUUGAGGGAGUUAAUGCUUGCAAUGCAUCAACUCAAUUUACUACCACAAGGAGCAACAAGAUUGAUAGGAAGAGAAGAUAUAGAAAUGGUUGGAGCUGCUUCAACAUCUGCACCAAUCCAUGUCCUUUCUCCUAUGGUGGAACGCCCUUCAAAUGUUAGAGAACCAAGAAUUGUCCUACUCGAGAAGUUUGAUGGCACCAGAUCUAAGUUUCGAGGAUUUAUCAAUCAAGUGCAACUUGUCAUUGAACUUCAACCCCAAAGCUAUCCAAUUCCAGGAUCACAAGUUAGAUUCAUUGGUACGCUUCUUUUAGGUUCAGCACUAUCGUAGUUUUCAUCUUUUCUUGAACGACGAGAUCUAAUAUUGGAUAAUCUAGAGGCUUUUUUGGCGGAGUUUUGAUCCAUGUAUGGAGAACAUGAUGUAAUUCGUGUUGCAACCAAUAAGAUCCGUAUUUUAUGACAAGACAAUCGAUCAGUAACGUUAUAUGCUUCACAAUUUUGACAACUUGCAACUGAUAUCAAGUGGGAUGAUGCUGUACUUAUUAGUCAAUUUCUCUAUGGAUUACAAUAUGAGGUAAAAAAAUUAAUGCUCAACUUACCUGAUCCUCAAACA